rnacentral:rRNA from 1 species
AUAUCAAUAAGCGGAGGAAAAGAAACCAACAGGGAUUGCCUUAGUAACGGCGAGUGAAGCGGCAACAGCUCAAAUUUGAAAUCUGCCUCUAGGCCGAGUUGUAAUUUGUAGAAGAUGCUUCGGGUGUGGCACCGGUCUAAGUUCCUUGGAACAGGACGUCAUAGAGGGUGAAAAUCCCGUAUGUAACCUCUGUUGAACCGAAUGUUUUCCUUCUAAGAGUCGGGUUGUUUGGGAUUGCAGCCCUAAAUGGGAGAUAAACUUCUUCUAAGGCUAAAUAUCUAUGGGAGACCGAUAGCGCACAAGUA